rnacentral:rRNA from 1 species
AUUGAACGCUAGCGGGAUGCCUUACACAUGCAAGUCGAACGAGUGGCGGACGGGUGAGUAAUAUAUCGGAACGUGCCCAGUAGCGGGGGAUAACUACUCGAAAGAGUGGCUAAUACCGCAUACCAUCGGAGCGGCCGAUAUGGGAUUAGCUAGUUGGUGGGGUAAAGGCUCACCAAGGCAACGAUCCGUAGCUGGUUUGAGAGGACGACCAGCCAGACUGGAACUGAGACACGGCCCAGACUCCUACGGGAGGCAGCAGUGGGGAAUUUUGGACAAUGGGCGCAACCCUGAUGCAGCCAUCCCGCGUGUAUGAGAAGGCCUUCGGGUUGUAAAGUACUUUUGGCAGAGAAGCGGUACCGGCAGAAUAAGCACCGGCUAACUACGUGCCAGCAGCCGCGGUAAUAC